rnacentral:tRNA from 1 species
GCCUGGGUGGCUCAGUGGUUGAGCAACUGACUUCAGCUUGGGUAGUGUUCCCAGGAUCCUGGGAUCAAAUCCCACAUCAGGCU